rnacentral:rRNA from 1 species
UACGUAGGGUGCGAGCGUUGUCCGGAAUUAUUGGGCGGAAAGAGCUCGUAGGCGGUUUGUCGCGUCGACUGUGAAAACCUACAGCUUAACUGUGGGCUUGCAGUCGAUACGGGCAGACUUGAGUUCGGUAGGGGAGACUGGAAUUCCUGGUGUAGCGGUGAAAUGCGCAGAUAUCAGGAGGAACACCGGUGGCGAAGGCGGGUCUCUGGGCCGAUACUGACGCUGAGGAGCGAAAGCGUGGGGAGCGAACAGG